UACGUAGGGGGCGAGCGUUGUCCGGAUUUAUUGGGCGUAAAGAGCGUGUAGGCGGCCAGGUAGGUCUGCUGUGAAAACUCGAGGCUCAACCUCGAGACGUCGGCGGAAACCAUCUGGCUAGAGUCCGGAAGAGGAGAGUGGAAUUCCUGGUGUAGCGGUGAAAUGCGCAGAUAUCAGGAAGAACCCCCGUGGCGAAGGCGGCUCUCUGGGACGGUACUGACGCUGAGACGCGAAAGCGUGGGGAGCGAACGGG
rnacentral:rRNA from 1 species